AGACGAUCGAAUCCAUGACCUGUAAUCACGAUAUUUUCCUCAUUACCGUCGUUCUCGGCCGAUUCGCUCGCGCUUUUCAUCAAUUUACUAACUCCUUAUCUGGUCCAGCUACCUUGGCGACGACCAACGGUAGAUAAUACUCGAGGCAGGCGACCCAGUGCACGUACACGACGAGAAUAACGCUCAUCUCCGCGAUUUUAUACAGAGGAAAAAGUAACUACGAGCCCAUGAACGCACGUAGUAGAGUCUGCGUGAAUAAACGAGCACGAUUCGUAGCCAUAGUAUCUUCAGCAAGUUCAGUGACCUUAGGUACCAUAUCGACUCAGGUGUGGUGGCAAGGAACUCCAACGGUAACACGACUAAUAUAUCCAGGACGAAAAAUCCUCGUAGGUACUUACUACGAAUUGGAAUAAUAUUGUUUGUUUGUCUCACGUUUUGUAUAACGAAAAAGUUGAUUUUAUCCAUACCUAUACAUAAUCUUCACAUUUUCAAUAAAAAAAUAUCGAUUUUUAUGUUUUAUAGUUACAAUAGUGUAGAUUUAAAAAAGUUUUUAAGGGGAAAAUCGAUUAUAUAGAAGGAAAAGCUCUGCAACGUAUGUUUAUUACAGAGAACUAUAUGGGAAAAAAGUUUCACGUAACAUAAUUUAUAUCUUUUCUCUUUAAAGUAUGAAUCAUAAGCAGUCGAUUUCAACGAAUAUUUUUUAUCACUUUAGACUAACUUUAUUCUUUAGGCUACUUUUGCAUACCUCGCUACGAUUUUCGGAUCUAAGACUAUCGAUUGUGUUUGGUAAUCAUAAUAACCGGUGAAAAACCGUAUCGUUAUCUCGCACAUGAACACGGCGUUUAUCGUGUGAUUGAUGUACCAUUUCUCGUGGUUCUCGAAGUAAAAGGUGAGGAGGAUCGGUGUGACUAUCAGAGUCACUACGAUGAACAGCAUCAUCACGGUCUCCCAUAUUAUUCUACAUGUACGAAUUAUAGCAAUUUAAUUUCGCUGCAAGAGUGGAGAAAGAGAGAGGGAGAGGGGGCGAGAGAGAGAGAGAGAGACUGCAGAUAUAAGACAACGCAAAGUUCUUUUAUCAUGAAACGUAUAAAGAGAAACUCAACUCUAACACAACAUUACUUCUUGUAGGAACCAACCUAAAUGAACUAAAAGGAUGAAUCAUGUAAGGGUAGGAUUGGAUAUGCCGACUGAUCUCAUAAUGGAGUGCCUUGUUGCUCUUCAGACACCAUCGCGUGAAUGGAUGUCUGCGGUACGCUAUCCGCGUGCUCAGGAACCAACGUCGCAGUCUCGACCAGGCGGAGCUCCCAGGUAUCAGCAUGGUCACUGGAUUUUCUUCUGUCGGUAUCUCGCAGACAUGUUUCACGCGCGGUGAACGCUGCAUAAAUGAUUGAACGUUAUUAAAUAAGCAAAACAGCUUGGACGAAAGCCAUGUGAUGUUUGCAGCUAAGUAAUGUCUAGUUUAUAAAAAAAAUUAUUUUUUAUAUAAAUAUACUUUUCCUCAUUUUGUUA